GACGAACGCUGGCGGCGUGCCUAAUACAUGCAAGUAGAACGCUGAAGAGAGGAGCUUGCUCUUCUUGGUUGAGUUGCGAACGGGUGAGUAACGCGUAGGUAACCUGCCUUGUAGCGGGGGAUAACUAUUGGAAACGAUAGCUAAUACCGCAUAACAAUGGAUGACAUAUGUCAUUUAUUUGAAAGUGGCAAUUGCUCCACUACAAGAUGGACCUGCGUUGUAUUAGCUAGUAAGUGAGGUAAUGUCUCAACUAGGCGAAGAUACAUAGCCGACCUGAGAGGGUGUUCAGCCCCUCUGGGACUGAGACACGUCCCAGACUACUGCAGGAGACAGCAGUAGGGAGUCUUCGGCAAUGGGGGCGAUCCUGACCGAGCAACGCCGCGUGAGUGACGAAGUUUUUCGUUUCGUAUAGCUCUGUUGUAAGUCAAGAACGGGUGUGCGAGUGGCAAGUUCACACUGUGACGGUAGCUUCCCAGAAAGGUACGGCUAACUACGUG
rnacentral:rRNA from 1 species